UUCUAACUAGGCUGCUCACAGGCGCUUCACAUAUGAAGAAGAAACGUCAUUUCCCUGUCGUCAGAUGCACAUUGAACAAGCAAUUCAGCCCCUAAAGCCACUUCGUCACCUUUACUCCCAAUGAACGUGCAAAUAUACAAUGUCUUACUUUAGGCGUGCCGGUGGAUCCUCUCUAUCACUGGCUGUGGGUUCAUUCCAUUUGACGCGGGCCGUGGGCCUACCAGGAUCACUGUUAACCUCGAAGCUUCUCGGACAAGAUAUCACUGGUGGCAUGUUUGGCUUUACUACCUCUGCCGGAAAGAAGAUUUGACUAGAUACCCUUGAUUAAAAGUAAUUAGGACUGUGGAGAUUUCAUUCACUGAAGCCGUAGUCGGUAUUUUAAACUCUCGGCGACAGGUAGGAAAUUUGAGUCUGGACCUAACAUACAAGUUUUAGGUAGCAACGCACGGGGCACGGGGACACAGCCCAGUACAUCUCGCGUCGUCUUUAACUGUAAGGCAUACUUGUAACCUGUGGUAUUUGUUUUCGACGUAUUCUUGAAACAAGAGGAUAAUUUACUGCUGGUUGAGCAGCGUGUCCCAAGUCUUGCAGUCAUACUGACAAUGUGAAUUAAAUUUUGCAUCACCACUGAUGCUAAAUCUUG